GCACUUCUUCGCAAUCAGACAUGGACUCUUGUUCCUCCACAAUCACGGGUAAAUGUCAUUGAUUCCAAAUGGGUUUUCAAAGUGAAGAGGCAUUCUGAUGGGUCCAUUGAGCGCUAUAAGGCUCGUCUGGUUGCUCGUGGUUUUCGACAGUGUUUUGGACUUGACUAUGAAGACACCUUCAGUCCAGUGGUCAAGCCUACUACCAUCAGACUUCUUCUCUCUCUGGCUGUUACUCGAGGUUGGUUUCUUCGUCAGCUUGAUGUUCAAAAUGCUUUUCUUCAUGGUGUCUUGGUGGAGGAGGUUUACAUGCGCCAGCCUCCGGGUUUCUCUGAUCCGGAUCGCCCUGAUCAUCUCUGUCGUCUGUCCAAGGCAAUUUAUGGUCUGAAGCAGGCUCCUCGUGCUUGGCAUGCUCGUCUUGCAAUGGCUCUUCGUGCUCAUGGUUUUGCAUCAUCAACUGCUGACUCCUCAUUGUUUCUUCUUCAA
rnacentral:rRNA from 1 species